GUCCCUAUGUCAUUGUUUGAUGACCCUAGAUUCAUUGUUCUGCCAGGUCUCCAUUGUAACUGAGGACCAGCUUCCAAUACUACUGUAACUAAAUCUUUCCAGUCUUGUGGAAUAAUUAUGUUCUGAGUUGCCCGAGAGUUUAACAUCUUCCUCACAAAAGGUGAAUGCAUACCAUAAGAAACUAUUGUUUCCUUAAAUCUCCUCAAAUCUAAUAUUUCCACCAGAUUCCAGUAAGCUCCUCCAUAGCCUUGGGGAUCCUACCAUUUGGCAGUUGUUUCUGUAUGGUGACUGGAUAAAUUGAGGUUGGUUUUCUGAUAACCUUGGGCUGCUCAUCUUCAGUUUCAUAAUAUAAUGGUGAGGUGGAAAGGGCCUGUGUAACUUUCCAGCCCUGCCUCCUCUUCCCCCGGGGCCUCUCUUUGUUGGAUCCAAGGGAACUCUAUGAUCCAUUCAGACAGAUGAAAUGUGAACCCUGCCUUUUGAACCAACACUUGACUCCAACUGGACAUUGGACCAUAAAUACUGUACUUUCCCACUAGUUCACUGAGCACGCCCUACUAGCUCAUGGCACAUGCUCCAAAAACCCUAUAAAAUCUGACCUCUCCACCCAGUUGGCUGUUGUCUGUUCCCGUUCAGAAGCAGCCACCAUUCUGUUUCUCCCCAAUAAAUUUCUUGUGUGAGGUUUGUUGUUUGUUGUGACAUUGUGGAAUUCCUUCCUCCUGAUUGCCAAGAUACCCUUGUGCUGGAAAACGCUUUCAGUUAGCAUGGGGUACAUUCUUGUAUAUGAACACAUGGAGGUGCAGCUUUAAUAUCUCAUUAAACAAAUAUUGUUUUUUUUUUUGAUACUGAGUUUUUCUGUAACAACUCUGGCUAUACUGGUACUUGCUUUGUAGACUAGACUGGCCUUCAACUCACAGAGAUCCAUCUGCCUCUGCCUCCUGAGUACAGGAAUUAAAGGGGUGCACCACCAUCUUCUGAAUUGUUUGUUUGUUUGUUUGGUUUGUUUUGUUUGUCAAGACAGGGUUUCUCUGUGUAGCUUUGGAGCCUAUCCUGGCACUUGCUCUGGAGACCAGGCUGGCCUCAAACUCACAGAGAUCCGCCUGCCUCUGCCUCCCGAGUGUUCUGAAUUGUUUUUAAAUCCUAGUUUUUAUAAACUUUUUUUUUUAAGAUUUUUAUUUAUUAUGUACACAGUAUUCUGCCUGCAUGUAUGCCUGCAGGCCAGAAGAGGGCACCAGAUCUCAUUACGGAUGGCUGUGAGCCACCAUGUGGUUGCUGGGAAUUGAACUCCAGACCUCUGGAAGAGCAGCCAGUGCUCUUAACCUCUGAGCCAUCUCUCCAG
rnacentral:lncRNA from 1 species